UGGGGAAUAUUGGACAAUGGGCGCAAGCCUGAUCCAGCCAUGCCGCGUGUGUGAAGAAGGCCUUUUGGUUGUAAAGCACUUUAAGCGAGGAGGAGGCUACUUGGAUUAAUACUCUAGGAUAGUGGACGUUACUCGCAGAAUAAGCACCGGCUAACUCUGUGCCAGCAGCCGCGGUAAUACAGAGGGUGCGAGCGUUAAUCGGAUUUACUGGGCGUAAAGCGUGCGUAGGCGGCUUCUUAAGUCGGAUGUGAAAUCCCUGAGCUUAACUUAGGAAUUGCAUUCGGUACUGGGAAGCUAGAGUAUGGGAGAGGAUGGUAGAAUUCCAGGUGUAGCGGUGAAAUGCGUAGAGAUCUGGAGGAAUACCGAUGGCGAAGGCAGCCAUCUGGCCUAAUACUGACGCUGAGGUACGAAAGCAUGGGGAGCAAACAGG
rnacentral:rRNA from 1 species